rnacentral:lncRNA from 1 species
AAAAAAAAUCUGAAAAUAAAUUGAGAAACUAUGCUGACGAUUUAGGCUGUUUUUAUUCUUUCUCCUGCAAACCAGAUUUAUAGGGCGUGUUUUCAUUUUAACGGUAAUUCUAUAGGGCUUAUUACUAAAAAAAGCCCCUUUUUUUUUUAAAUUUACCGAAAUAGGCCACUUUUCUAAUUAUUUAUCGGAAUGGGUCAUUUUCCGCGAAAUCACGUCCACGUUAGCGCGAUGUCAGGGUACGCGCAGGAAAUCGCGUCCACGUCAGCGCGAUUUGCUGACGUGGAAGGAAAUCGCUUCCUCUAGGACGCGAUUUGCUGACGUGGCAUGAACAGUGUGUUUUUAACUUGGAAAACUUUGAAAGGCCAUAACUUUUGGCUCGGUUGUCCGAUUGAGACGAAUUUUUUUGAUUUCGAAUAAAUUUUCGAGAUCUACGCGCUGAUAAACCAUCGAAGGCGGUUUGCCGACGUUUUCGUCGAAAAAGAUCCUCUUUUGCCCCUCAAUUUUGAUUUUUUCGGUUUAAAAUUGAAUUUUGAAACAUUCAAAUCGUUAUUUUCCUCAUUUAUUUGAAGUAAACACCGGAUAUUUUUUUACAGAAUUGUCUUAUAUCAUCCUGUUAUAGGUAUAAGUCAGCUCAUUCCACUUUUGAGAAGUUCCCUAAAAUUUUCCAUUUUAUUCAAUUUAGUCCCUAAAGCCUAAAUAGUCAUAUUUUCAAAUCUAAGCUUCAUUUUUCAAUUCAAAUUCAAUUUCAUCCUUCCAUAACAUUCAAAUAUUCUUAAAUACAAAAAUUUCGUGCUAAUUUUGAAAUAAUUACACUUUAGUCCCUAUACUCGUAACUAACAAAUUAUACUUUACAAAUUAGUCCCUAUUCAUCUCUAAGAAGUUUUCCAGCACGUAGAUCUCGAAAAUUUAUUCGAAAUCAAAAAAAAAUUUGUCUCAAUCGGACAACCGAGCCAAAAGUUAUGGCCUUUCAAAGUUUUCCAAGCUAAAAACACACUGUUCAUGCCACGUCAGCAAAUCGCGUCCUAGAGGGAGCGAUUUCUUUCCACGUCAGCAAAUCGCGCUGACGUGGAUGCGAUUUCCUGCGCGUACCCUGACAUCGCGCUGACGUGGACGCGAUUUCGCGGAAAAUGGCCCAUUCCGGUAAAUACUUAAAAAAGUGGCCUAUUUCGGUAAAUUUAAAAAAAAAGGGCUUUUUUUAGUAAUAAGCCCAAUUCUAUCAACAGUUACAAGGGCUCCAACAAUUAUAAAAUUUUUAUAUAAAUACCUCUAAAUUUCAUUCUUUUCAACCAAAUACUCCAUACUCAUUCUUUCUUCUAAAUUCUCAAUUCUCAAUAUUCAAUUUCCAAUUUUCUAUUUUCAAUCUUCAAAUUUUAAUCCUCACUUAUUUUUUUAAUUUUAUUUUCUUCGAUUUUAAUUUAUUCGUUAUAAUUUUUAAGUGGCAAACCAACUUAUUCGUUUGGAUGACAAGCAUAUCUCCAGCAUUCAACUUAUUCAUUUGGAUGACGAUAUCGGAUAAAGUUAAAAUUGGUGGUUGCAUGCUACUUCAAUUGUGGCAUGUUAUCGACUAUCAUUUUUACGCCGCCGAGUAGAACUCCUUUACGAAUUCCCACUCGUCAUAUGUUGAAAUUCAUUUGAUAAUAUCAUUACCAUUUUUAUUUUUCAUUCUUGUAUUUUUUUGAAAUAACAUAUUGUUUGAAUAGGUGGAACAACCCCGCGAGACAUAGUUGUAUACCGACUGAACUCGAGGAUAUCCGAUUAGCUUUAGAUUAAGAAACCGAAGAUGAGGUUAGUUUAUGGAUUUCAAACUUAUAUAACAUAUUAUACCACAUGAAAUUAAAUAUUAAGCAUGUGCUAAAAAUUAUAAAUUCGUACUACAAUUUGUAUAGAUGCCAUAUGCGGAUUCGAAGGUUCAAUAAUGUGUCCCGAUCGAAUUUUUGACCAAUUGCAACAUUUGGCACGUCAAAGUGCCAUUGGUCAUUUUUGCAAUGGUUGAGAGGUACGAAUCCGAUCGAAUGAUGCGACAGUUCGGGUGUAUGCCACGUAUUCCAUCGCCUCCCCAAGAGCUUGAAGACCUGCACAAGAUUGACUUGCAAGGGAGACUCGAGGAAGAUUGGCCAACAUUCCACAAGAAGUAUAUCGAGAUAUGGCAGUGUAGGUAUAACGACAAGCCAUAUCUACUGCUAGCUUCAGAAAGGAGUAAGCAACAUCGCCGUAGGAAGCCAAGACGAGGACCUAUCAAUCCUAGGUCGGGAGAAGAUGUCGUAGCGGGAUCAACAUCUGCUCCAUCUGCACUGGAGGACCUGAUUGCCAUGCAACCUCCUAGUCAAUAUGAUUCAUUUAUUUUUGCUUCUAACCCAUUUUUUUUGUCACAAGUAUCAUAGCAUGCACACUCAUUCCCCGCAUCAUCACCUUCAGCUUUGGUUUAUUUUACAAAACCACCAUAGCACGCACAAUUAUUCCCUACAUCAACACAUUCAGCAUAAGUUUAUUUUACACAAGCACCACCGUACAUGCAAUCAUUCUUUGUAUCAACACCUUCUCUAGGGAUAAUUUUUGCACGAUUGCCACCCACCGUACCAUAUUAUAUGUUGAUCUCGCCAAAAACACCAAUUCAUUCGGUAUCACUGAUAAUUCUAACCUUUUAUCCGCAACUAGGCCAUGUGACUCCAUAUAGUGGCCCGACGGUAGUGUUGCAAACACCCCCAGCAUUGUGGUUCUAUCGAGGUGGGUUGUCCUUGCAACUGCUGACUCAAAUAGGGGGAUCUACGAUGAGCGGCUAGGACACGGUUGCAGUCAACCACGGAGGAAGGAGAUAAAGUCAACAAUAAACCCCAACGUGCAUGUGAAGAUGAAGCCAAAGUCAACGAGGAGUCGUCAAAGCAAAUAGUGCGACAGAACCCUAUGCGUGCUUGACGCCCACCUGGUUGUGGCACACAUUCGGGAAACUGAUGAUUAUAUUAUUUUGUAAUUUUGUAAUUUUUUGUAUACUUUGUUUUACAUCCCAAAUGUACACUUAUUUACAAUAUGUAAAAUAAAUUUAUUAAAUUGGUUUGAUUUGUACACAAUCAUAUUGUGAGUUUAAAAUUUACAAUUAUUUUUGUUACUAGUUCAUUUAAGUUUUUCUUCGUCCAUUUGUUAAGUACACUAUUUUUAUAAAACAAAGGAUUUCUCAGAAGGUUAGGAAAAAGAUUAACACUUUGGCUUGUGUAUUGUAAUAUAUCUUACUUCAAUAAUUAAUAUUAACUUACACUUUAUAGAAAAAAUUAAUGAAUAAAACAAAUAACUUAGUGUUUUCACUGCAUGGGUUAGUGUUUUAAUUAGCUCUUCUGCACUUCAAUAAUUAAUAUUAACUUUGACGUGCGAGUCCUACAUAUGUGUUUCAACCAACCCAACUUGAUUGUUUCUGAGCCCUGCAACCCGAGAUUCCCGGGAUAAAUUUUUUUCCUUUAUACCCUGCCCCAUCCCCUACAUAAAUGCUCCUUCAUCCCCUACUCACCCACAUCUCGGCCUCCUCUAAAUUGUUUUCUUUUCUUGCGUGUUAAAAUUUUCGGGUUUAAAGAUUUAUUUCUCUCAUUUUGAGGGAAACAUAGUCAUAGUUUUAAGUUGUGUUCGAGUUCACGGUGAUGUCAUAGAGCUUGGUAACCUACAAAUUUCACCUACCGUGUGAGUAUAGAGCCAUCACUUGAGAAGCCGAGAUUGCUUGUCCAAGUUGACGAUCAUUAUACCAUUUUGAGUUGAAAUGUAACUAAUGUUUCAAAUGUACAAAGGUUAUUCUGUCAAAGGAUGAAGCAUAACCGGGGUCGUAGUUGAGGGUGCUAAUGCGGGCACCACAACGAGUUUCUCCUCAUCAGAGAAGUAUGCUUCAUAAAACUCAAACAUAAGCACGAGGAGAAAAGCGCAAGGGCCCUUUUAGUAUAAUCAAGUAAUUCGUAUUAUCCAUCUCCACCGAAGGCGGUGACCUUAUUAGUAUAAUCUGUUACACCCCAAUGCUGUCACAAGUUAUAAUAACGGGGUCAUCGCCUUCGGUGGUGAUGGAUAAAAUGUAUUAUUUAAUUAUAUUGAAUCGUCAUUGCGUUUUCUUCCUCAUACUUAUGUUUGAGUUUUAUAAAACAUCCUCUUUUGAUGAGAAGAACUCGUUGUCGUGCCCGCAUAACCACUGUUAACUAUGGCCCAUCUAUGCUCCAUCCCUUGACAGCAUAAUUUUUGUAAACUUGAAGCCCUAGUUACACUUCAACCCCGGAUCGUAGAAUCACUGCUAAGUGGGACCUUGAGUUGCAAUGCAAUUCGACUUCCCGGGUGAUGGCUCCAUACUCACAUGGCAGAUAAAAUUUUUAGGUUACCCAACUCCAUGACACCACCGUAAAUUCAAACAUUCCUUAAAACUAUGACCUUGUUUAUCUCAAACAUGAACAAAAAUAAAUCUACAAACUUUUAAUUUCCAACCGCAAGAAAAAAAACAAUUUUUACCAAAGUGAAAACGCGCCAUACAGAGCGCGUGUUCAGGAGAGAGAAUAAAAACAGCGUAGAUUAGUAAAAAUUAUUUUUUUCAGCGUAUUUAUAUAAAUUAACUCAAAGCUGGUUUAUAUUUAAGCCUUAGUUCAUAAUUAAGUUCUUUUUAAAAAUAUAAUUUUAUAAUAUACAAAUAUAUCAAUAUGAAAAUCUUGAUUAGGUUCACGAUCAAUUUGAAUCAAGAUUUACGAUACUCGAAUUUGGCUCAAGCAAUAACACGAGUUCAAGAUAAAAACAACGUAAAUUAGUAAAUUUUUAGAAAAUCAACAUAAUUUCUCAAUUAUUUUUUUAGCGUAUUUAUAUAAAUUAACCCAAAGCUGGUUUAUAUUUAAGCCUUAGUUAGUUCAUAAUUAGGUUCUUUUUAAAAAUAUAAUUUUAUAAUAUAAAAAUAUAUCAAUAUGAAAAGCUUGAUUAGGUUCAUGAUCAAUUUGAAUCAAGAUUUACGAUGCUCGAAUUGGGUCAAACAAUAACACGAGUUCAAGCUCACCCCGAUAAUUAUCGAAUCAAAUUUGAGUUUUUUCUAGUCAAAGGCAAAUAGCUUGCAAGCAUCAAUCUCAUUUACACCUUACUAUUGAAUCUCUUUUCCAAAAAAAAUUAUAUUUAUAAUUUAUUUAUGAAAUAAUUUCAAUAUAUAAUCAUAUAUAUAAUAAAACAAGGUACGGAUUUAAAAUUUUAAAAAAUUAUGUAUCUAAUUUUAAAAUUUUAUCUUCUUAAUAAUAGUUUUAUCUAAUUUUUUAAUUACUUAUUAUUUUUUAAUAAUCUUAAAUAAUAAACUAAAAUUAAAAAAUUAAAAUUUUAUAUUAAAAUUAAAAAAAAUACAAAACCAUUUUCGUUUUAAAUUUCAAAGUUAUCUUUAUACUUAUCUAAAAAAAUAUAGUAUGUAAUAUAAAAUUUUAAAAUAAUUUUUUAUAUCUAAAUAAUAAACAAAUAUUAAUUUCCCAAAUAGGAUUACUUAGCAGUAUAUACUUGGUGAGUGUUGUAUGGAUCUUUUUACCUGUAAAUUUCAUUUUUGCUAGAUUUCUAUUGGGGUAUUCCUUGGGUUCAUGUAGCGUCUUUUAUCACUGGCAUUUGGUAUAUCGAUUUGAUUGUGACUCUGAGUUGCUCCACUUUCUAGAUCAAAAUCAGCAAAAGAAAAUGCCGAUAAGGUCAAGGAAACAGGUUUGUAUGUGCCUGAAGUAUGACCAGAUGCUUUACUUUUGAAUAGAAGUUCAGACUAUAGAUGGUUGCAGUGAUGUCUUCUUUUAAUCUUUGUGACGGAAAACAGAUGUUGGAGUUAUAGGGUUUUGAAAACUAUAUGAAGUGACACUAAAUAGUUGAAGUAAAGUUUAGCUGGUAUUGAAAUUUUCAGCAGAUGAUGCUUCUUCUAUCCAUUUAUGGAACAGGUGUGCUUUCUUUUUGUCCUUCUCUAAAAUUUAAGCAAUACCAGAACAAGGUAUGAGAAUAAAGCCAUAGGGUCUGUCUUUUACCAAUAGUUCUUUGGUAUUUGGUAAUAUUGACAUCACCCUGAAGGUUUAUAUUAUAUCUGAUAUGCGUAUACAUGUAUGUAUGUAUGUAUGAAUGCCUAUAUAUUGGGGGCGGGUGGUCGUUUGUGAGAAUGGUCAGUGCUGGAGCAAGUCAUGUUAGUUUUAUAUAGCUAGCACUAAUUGCUGGAGCAAUUUAAUCAAGAAGCAGGUAGACAUCAGUGCUGAAUAUUUAUUGUUAUUGAUUUUUGGACCUUGAAUUUUUCAUCUAAUAAUCUCAAAUUUUGGUGUUAUCAUUUUUUUCCUAAUAUAUUAAUUUUCAUAUUUGCUGGCAAUUUGAUUAUAUUCCAGAUUAAUAAAAUCAAGUUGUGUUAUAUCAGUUUUAGUUUCUCAAAUAUGCUCAAUUUGUUAUCAUUUAGAUAAAUAUUUAAUUAAACAAAAAAUUAACUAGAUAAUUUAUCCAUUUAAUUUAACUUAAAUAUUUAUUUAUAUAUUAUCUAUUUUGAAAUUUGAUUUUUUAACACAAAAAAUUUUAAAAAUUAGUUAUCUCAUUUAAAAAAAUAUAUUUUGAAUAAAAUUAUUUUACUUAUAAAUUUAUCUCCUUUACAUAUUUUGAGAUAUAAAUCUAUUAAAAUUAUAAAUUAAAACUUAAAUCAUAAUUACCUUUAAAUUUUAAUUACCUACCAAUAACUCUAUAUAUUAUAAGAUUAAUCUAUGUUUAAUCUAGGAAAUUAUAUAUAUAUCAUAUACAUAUAAUAAUUUAAGACAUAUUUUUAUAAAACAAAAUAUUGAAUUACAAAAUUUAUAAAAAAAAUAUUAAACUAUUUAAAAUUAUUUAUGAUAUCAAUCAUAAAAUUAUGUUUAUACAAAAUUAUAAAGUAAUUUUAAUUGAUAUAUACAACCAAACUCAUGCAUUGCCGGGUAAGAAAAUUAGUUUUUUAAUAUAUAUAUAUAUAUAAGGAUAAUUAUUGACUUAUUGAAUACAAUGUUAGUAGAAUAAAAAAAUUUAAAAUAUUCUAAAGUCUUUAUACUUUUCAUAAAAUUGAAAUUUAGUCUCUAUACUUUUGAAUUCAGGAAGGCAUAAUUGCAAAAAAAUCCCUCAACCUUUGGGGGCAUUUCGUUAUAUGCCCCUAACCUUUUUAUUUUCUGAAAUCGGCCGUUCACGUAAUAGAUUUUUCAGACAUCAACCCAGUUGAAACAGUAACCAUUAGCUGACUGUUAGUCAACAGCCGGUCAAAAAAAUUAGUCUACGUGGCAUUCCAGUUUACUGAUGACGUAGCAGACAUUAAUAUGUCUAUUAAUGGGUUUUAAAUUCAUCCAUCUCCAUCUCAUCCAUGAAAACUGCUCCACCGUCUUCAUCUCAUUUGCAGAAACAUAAUUUUCAAGUUUGAGAUCAAUACUGUCUAAAAAACUCAACAAAUAAUGGUUUGGAAUGGCUAUAAUGUAGGUUGCAUCGAUUGUAUUUUAGAUGUCCCUUUGCUGGUGAUUUAUUAUUAUACUUGAAAAAAAAACAGAUCUCAAAUCAGAAGGCCCUUUUAAACAAACCUAGAAAAAAGUGGUUGGUAAAGUAAGAUUAGCAAUGGGUUUACUAAUAUAUCUGCAAAUCUAAAGUAAAGCCAGUCCCAAGGUCGUGGCUAUUAAGGUAAGAUUAGCAAUGGGUUUACUAAUACCAUAUGCAAAUCUAAAGUAAAGCCAGCCCUAAGGCCAUUAUUCUUGUCUUCAUCUCUAACCAGUGUAAGAAAACAAGAAAAAAUAAAAGUAUGAUUGUGGGUACUGAUGGAUGAAAAGAAAAUUUUAUGAGAGUUGGAGAGCUGAGAAUGGCCUUUGCAAGGGGAAAUCAAAGAGCUAGGGUAGAAAAAAGGGAUAGAAACCCAAAAAAUUCUUUGAUUUUCUGGGUUUUUCUUUCACUCUUUUUUUUUUGUAACUCAAAAGGAAAAGAUCAAAUUUUGGAGAUGGAAUCAUGGACGUCAUUGAACGAUUCUUGGUCGGAGAAGAUGCCGUGAUUAAUGGCAUCAAUAGUGGGAAAAGGCGACUAGGGCUUUUUUGUUUUAGAGAAGAAGAUUGAAGAGGAUGAAGAUAUUUGUCUAUUUCUUUAGUAAUUAUUAAUUUUUUUUUAUAUUUUAAGUAAUAAUAAAUAUGGGGUAAAUUAGCGUAUUUAUUUUAAUGUCUACCACGUCAUCAGUCAACUAGAACGCCACGUAGACCAAUUUUUUGACCGACUGUUGACUAACGGUCAAUUAACGGUUAUCGUUUCAACUGGGUUGAUGUUUUAAAAAUUCGUUACGUGAAGGGCCGAAUUCAGAAAAUAAAAAGGUUAGGGGCAUAUAUCCAAAUGCCCCCAAAGGUUGAGGGCUUUUUUUGCAAUUAUGGCUUUUUGGAAUUUAGUCCUACUUUUUAGCUUUCUAUAGAGGCAAAUUUUUGAAGUGGCUGACUAAGUGCCAAACGAAAGUGACCAUUUCCAUCAACACUGCGACAAACUGUUACUUGUCAUAUUUGUAGUUGACAAUUUAUUGAAACAAAAUCUUUGAGCUUUGAAUGGUGUUGAUAUUCUAGACGUGUGCAAGACCGACUUUGAAGACCAAUCCAUUUACAAUAACUUUCCUUGAAGAUUGGUGGUUCGAAUCAAGUAAUUGAAUCCCUUGGAUUGAGGAGAAUGGGUCGAGAUAGCAUUAAAGAUACCAUUGAAGAAUGAAUUUCCAACAAUCCAUGAAACAUCCCUUACCCAUUCUGAGGACCAGUACAGAUAGAAGAUGCCAUUAGAAUACAUUCAAAUCAAAAUACUUGACUUUCUUUAAGAAAAUAAAUAUUAUAAAAUUUUAUAGGAUCAUUAAAAAUAGGUAAAUCAAAUUUUAGCAUUUUAAAAUCAUGUUAUAAACAUUUGGAUAAAGUUUGAGAAGGUUUCCAGGUGUCCGGGCCCAAAACAACUAUUGAAACAACUUCAAAUAUGAUGAGUUGUUGCUUGAUCAAUCAAUGCAAAUAGUAAACAGGGGGUGAAUUGACCUUUUAAAAAUUAGUGGAAGAAAGACAAGAAAAAUAGAAACAAUGAACACAAGUGGUUCGGUCUCAAUUGCCUACUCCACUACCUUAGCUUUCCACCAUUAAGGAUUUUCCCAAAUUCACUAAUUUGAUUCAACCUUUGAAGGCAUAGUUUAACCUUACAACUCCUUUAAGAUUUCUACCUAAAAUUUUAACACUUAAACCCUCUUAAAAGAGUAACCAAAUGAGCAAACAAAGAAACAAUCCUUAAAAUAUUAGGAUGUUUGCCAAUUAAGCACUCAUACAAUAAAAACAGUUGAGCUGAUAAAAAAAUAUAAUAAAUGCUCACAAGUGUUUACAAGAAAAGAUGAAUAAUUUUAAGCACAAAUUGAUUGGUAAUGAAUUUUUUAUGUAUCUUGAAGCUUUUGAUCUUUUGUAAUUCUCUUGUUGUUAUAUAAGCUUUGGAAACUGAUAUUUAUACCUCAUAAUUGAUUUUCAACCAUUUGGGUUGAUGGGAAAUUGAAUAGAGUCAUUGGAGAUGUAAGAACAGGUGCAUUAAUGUCUCCUACAACAACAAGUAUUGAUACCUUUUAAAAGGUAUCGAUACUUUGGACACUUAAUGCCUAAAUUUAGUGACUGUUAAAGGCUAUAGUAUCAAUACAAUAGAGGAAAUAUUGAUACUUGCUAUGAGGUAUUGGUACCUUGGGGAGGGUAUCGAUACUCGGACAAUUUCUUGUUUAAUUUUCAAAACAUCGAACCUUAAAAUGGUAUCGAUACCAUGGGAGGGUAUUGUUAAAUUUUGCAAGGUAUCGAUACUUUUAUGAAGGUAUCGAUACUUUGUAUUUGUGCUCAAUCUUCUUUGAGAAAUAGAAGUUCAAAUUGGUACCGAUACUAGGCAUAAGUAUCGAUAAUUUUUGAAAGGUAUCGAUACUUGGUUAGAGGUAUCAAUACAUUGGAUUUUUGCUCAAUUUUUUUAAACUUCGAAGCUUAAAUCGGUACCGAUACCUUAGAGGGUAUCGAUACUUUGACCCUUGAGAGCAUUUUAACUUGUUUAAAAGUGUUUGCAAAAUUUUUUAUUGUUUUGAAGAACUUUCAAAAUAUUUUCUAAGUGCUUGAAAGAUUGAUUUAAAUUUUUAUCUCUUAAAAAUAUUUUGAAACAAAUUUUUACUUUGAAAUUUAUCAAGUUUUAUUUUAAAAACAAGUUUUGUUUAAAAACAUUAUAUUUGUUGUAUCAAACAAAUCUUAGUUUAACAAUCUCCCUUUUUUUGAUAUAACAAAAUAUUUUGGUAAAUUUUAUUUUUGAAUAAGUUACUAUCCCUUUCUAAAAAUCAAUUUCAGUUCAAGGCUCGAUUUUGUUUUUGAAAGGUGGUCACAAAAUUGUAGAGAUUAAUUACCAACCAUUUUACCUAUUUAUCUUUUCUCCCCUUUUUUGUUAUAUAAAAAUAAAUCAAUGUAAAGUCUAAAGAGAAAGAAAAUGGUUAGUCCAAAAAUAUAAAGCAAUCAAGAACAAGGAACUAACAUUGAAAAUAAAACAUCGAAGUAUUUCAAAAAACUAAAUAAAUGUUAAAGUGCAAUAACCAUAGGAAUAGGAAAAUAAUUCAAAUAAUGCAUAAGAUCGAAAAUGAACAUGAAGAUGCAUGAGUGCAAAAUAGAUCCUAAUUAUCUUGGGGUGGCUGUAGUGGACGAAACUGUGACAUAAUAUAAGCUAUGUGUUCCUCCAACGUAGUCAUCCUAGCAUCUAAGCCUUGAAACUCAUCACUAACAACACUAGGAAAGCCUCUAAAUUCAUUGCUCAAAGAGUUAAUAGUGUUAAGGAGAGCGUUAGUCUCGAUCGAAAAUGGAGUGGCUAGUGGUGGAGCUUGCUCGAGAUGUGGAAUCAGAUCACCGCCUUCAACAUCUUCAUCUUCCUCAUUAUGGGGUUUGUGUUGAGCACCCUUGACCCAUGUACCAUUGUGAGGGUCCUCGGUAUAACCAGCAUGUCAUAGGGUAUCAAAACUUAGAGAAGUAAGAGUGGCCAAAGAAGGAUCGCCUCAGGUGGGAAUUUUGAGGUGUUUGAAAAUGUACAAGAGGUAGGUUCCGAAUGGUAAGGUCACAAAGCUAGUAAGCUCUUUUCCAAUGACCUUGGUUAUAUCGUUAAACAUUAUUAAGGCAAGGUCGGGUCACCUAUUUGUUUGAAAGCAAUCAAGCCACCAAUAAUCCAUGGCUCAAACAACAUGUUUGGAAAUAGGUAGAAAAAUUCAUAUAAGACUUAAGUGAAGCAAACGAUCAUGGAUAUUGAGCUUUGAAGCAUUCGAGCUUGGAAUGAUUAAGGUUGAGUUUGAAGAGUCUUUUUCAUUUUACUCACCACUAGGUAGUAAUUUUAAAAAUUCCCCAAAAUUUUCUAAGGUGAACGGAUUAGUGUGUUCAUAAGGAAAGAAUUUAUUGCAAUAACGGUCUCACCUAACGAGUUGUGUUUGAGUAAAGCAUUUGAAUAAAAUGUUCGAACAAGGUUUGCAUGAGUUGGAGAAUGAAUUUUUAAAAAGUCAAUCCAAUGCCAAUUUCCCAAUGCUGGAAGAUAAGCAAAGUUAAAAUCAGCUAAGGUUUCUAAAUAGAGAGGUCGAGAAACGUUAACUUUGUGAGUUGAAAAAUAAGUGUAAAAACAAGUUCUCUCAUCGGUAUUUUGAAAACAAUCAUUUAAAGAAUCAUUUUGGCUGCUAUGUGGAUUGGACGAAGAGGCAUCAACACGAGAAUGUUUCUUAAGAGGCAUGGUGACAAACUAUGAUCCUAAGACGCACUAAACAAAUUAGAAUUUUUAUUCAAGAAUUUUAUCCAACACUUGAUAGGCAAGAGUUUUAAAAAAAGAUUUGAAAAGAUUUUUUGGUUAGGCAAACCCCCUACAUCAAAAUCACAACAUAUACAUAUUCCAGAUCAUACAAUAUCAAGAUUCAAACUAGAAAAUAAAACAUUUUAUUUGCAUUUUCAAAAUAAAGAAAUUUGAGUUUUACCUUGAGUAUGCUUUUAAGAGAUGAAAAAAUCUAAUGGAAAAAGUUGAAUCCUUGAUAAUGUUGAGAGUUUGGAUGAUGUUUUUUGAGAAAUUUUAAAAAAUGAAAUAUUUAAAGCUUUUUGGUGAAAGGGUUUUGAAAUCAGUGGAGAAAAAAUAAGAGUUUUUCUCGACUUUUUUUUAAAGGAAACGUGUUGCAGGCCUUUUAAAAAUUCGAAGGUAUCGAUACUUUUAGUGAAGUAUCAAUACUUUACCUUAAGUAUCAAUAUUUUUUAAAACUAUCAAUACUUUAGCUUAAGUAUCAAUACUUUUGUUAAAGUAUCAAUACUGCAAUGCCCAGAUUGGUUCAAAACUGCAAAAAAGUUCCUAGAACUGGUUUUAAGCCUCUAAAAUGCAUCCGACUAACUUAAGUUGCUAUUUUUGCUAUUUCUAAUGAUUUCAUAAACCUAAUUAUGUGGAAUUGAGGCAUGAUGUAUAUGAAUAAUAGAAAACCAUUAAAGCAUAAAAAAUUAAUCAUUUGCAUAAAAUAGAAAGUCUAAUUUUAUCAUACUUAAAAGGUAUUAAAAAAUAUGUAUGUUGGGCCAAAUAGGUCAAAAUAGCUUAAACAUGCAACUUUGACACUUGGAACGACGAAAAUGUGCAAGUGUACACAAUCGCCAAGUAAUAAAGUGACAAGUAAAUGUCGAGUUAUCGUACCCACAGGGACUGUAAAAGAAUUAUUUAUGAAAGUAAGUUUAAACACUUUGGUGAAAGAAAAUUAUUUGGAUCUGGGAAAUGAUUAAAACUAAAAAACAAAGUAAAAUAAAAUAAAGUAAAGUUCUAAUGCACGAUUUCAAAAGCUGAUUUUAAUCAAGAUGAUAUAAUCGUGUUGGAUUAAUUACAUUUCCUUACCUUAGAAUCAUUAAACUUAUGCUUAUACUUAUUUACUAAUAAAUCACGGCAACUCAGUAAUUUAUUAACUUAUGAACAUAUUUAGAAAUAAAAAAUCCAUUCAUCUUUUGUACACAUUCCUAUGUCAAUUCGACCGAUAAAACAGAUUUAUAAAGAUAAACAUGUUAUUGCACAUACAUACUUAUUAGAUUAAACAAUCUCUCACAUAUUCCUAUGUUGAUUCAAACGAUUAAUUCAACCUAAUAAGCAUAUAAAAGACUAUGUGAGGUAACAAAGUAUCCUUACCUUGAAACAGUUUAAUCACAAUAAUCUUGCAAGUUAUGUAAGGCAUAUGUAUCGCCAAAUACAAUGCUAAUCUAAUCUUCAGCUACCUUAGAAGAAUUAAACAUGCACUGAUUAAGUAUUAUGUUUAUUAAUUACAAUUUCAAUGUGUUUAAAUAAUUAAUUCUUUAGUUAUAUUACAAUUGUAAUGCGAGAAUAACUUAAUCAUGGUUUUACUUAAUCAAACAUUUUACCGAGGCCUAUAACAACAUAAACAUAAAUUUAACAAAUCAAGAGGAGGAAUGCAAUCAACCCAACACGAAUUAAAUUCAAGCUAAGCUGAUUAAAUUAACCAUUCCAAUAGCAUAAAUAUUCACAGAUAUGUUCAUCAUAAAAACAACAAAAAUAAAAGAGAUAAGGAACAAGAAUCAAUUCUGGUGGUUUUCCGUGGCUUGACUAGGUUGCUCCAUUCUUCCUUCUUUGUUGUCCUUGCCGGUCAAGGCUGCUAUGAACACUCAAUUGCUGCUCCAAAAUGGCUGAAGAACACCCCUUUCCCAAGAUGAGAAAUCAGCACAAGAGCAAGGAACUUUGACUGGGAAAAUGAGAGAAAAAAGUGAGAGAGGAGAGAAGAGUUGUGAGGGAAGAGAUGUGAACGAGGGAUGAGUUUUUUUUUUGCAAGGUUGAAAGUUCUUCAAGGGCUUCUUUGCAAGCUUAUUUAGUCAGCUAAAAUUCUGAUUUGGGUCAGCAUAUGGACGGUUCUGGGCAGCCCAAUUGGUGGCUGGUUCGGUUCACUAGAUUCGGUUCAACCAAUGCGGUUCAACUGGACCCUUUUUUUUCAUAAUUAAUUAAUAAUAAUUUAUUUAGCCCAAAUUAAAUUGGGAAUAAAUUAAAAUUAAUUAUAUUAUGAAUUAACACACAUUUUUUGACCAUCUUAGGCUGGAAAUAAAUUUUCCUUGAUGCUUCAAAUUGCUUCUCGGUUUUAUUCUUCGAGCAUUGUCUACCGAGUUAAUUUUCGUCCUUUGUACGAAUUUGUCGAAAAUAGUCAAAAUUAAUCAAAAUUAACUAUAAAAUUAAUUAAAAUUCAUCAUGUUCAUAUUUUAAACAUAAUUUAAUUAUUUUAUAAUAUUUAAUCAUUUUUCGACAAGAAUUUAACCGAAAUAGCAUGAUUUUAAGUUAAAAAGGGCAUGUAAAAACACAUAAAUUUUCGUGUUUCCACACCCCCAAACUUAAUUCAUUGCUCGUCCCGAGUAAUGCACAAAUUUGAAAAGAAUUUUCUUGGAAACACUUUUUGAAAAACUCCUUUAGAACAACAUUCUUCCCAAAAUCAUGAAAUCAAUAUACUUAUGCUUAAAAAUAAGAAAUUUGAUAAUUAUGCUACUCAAGUAUAUAUAUCGUUCAAAUUAAUCUCAACAAUUACUACAAUAGCAAAAUUAGACUAAAUGUUUCUUAAUAAAGACAUGUUAAUCCCUACCAAUUUGAUUUUAAUCCCUUAUUCAAAAUUAAACUGCAAUCAUUAAGCUUAACUAAUGUCUUCAUAUGUUGAACAGAACAGUUUCUCUCCACUAAUGUAGGUAACAUUGGAACUUUGAAUCAAUAGGUCUUUAACAAGGUUGUAACGUGGUUGGGCUUAGGGGUAGGUAAAAGAUAGAUAAUUUUAGGUUUAAAAAAAAACCCUAGACUCAGCUUGUAUCGGACCUUUCGAAAUAAAUACCUUCAAUACAUCAACUUUUCUUUCCUUUUCACAUGCUCUUUAGUGAAAUUCACUUCAAGUACAUAUGCUUUUUUUCGAGUAUUUUACUGCAUGUACUACAAUUUUUAAAGCAUUUCAUACUUCUUUGUAACUCCCCCAAACUUAUUUUCAAAGAAUACUCUGAAUAGUACUGAGCCUAGUGUUUGAGACAUUUUUAAGAUAAUUAAGAAAAGUGAUGGCUAACUUUGUAAGGGUUCAAAUAAAAUUAGGCCAUAAAGUCUCAAAGUUGGGUUUCAAAGGAUAAAAAUUUCAUCAUGGUUGGCUUGAAAGGCUCAAACAGUCCAAACAAUAGUUGCCUAAAUCAUUUUCAACGUUCCAUGCUUCCUAGGAUUUCACCUCAAGAAACUACUAAGUCAAUUCUAAAGACUUAAACUUUCAUGCAUGCCUAACUUUCCUAAAGAACUAAAAUUUUAUGGUAUGAUUUGCAUGCUUUAUUUGAAAUACAUUUCAUGUCAUUAUUAAGCUAACAUAACAAUUUAUUGAAAUAAUCAAACUUUAUUCAUACUUAAAUUUAGCAUACUUAACAAAAUUCAAAUUUAUUGAACAAAAAAUAUCAUAUUCAUAAUUAAAAGAAAAAAUUAUAUUCUGAGUGGAAAUAAUUUCAAUUUUCAGUCCCCUCAACUUAAAAUGAACAAUGUCCUCAUUGUUUAAAGUGAAUAGAUACUAUACACCAGGUAGGAUUCCAGAAAAGAGGAGGUGAGUCAAUUUGACUGCUUAAGUACCAAGCUCUUCCUAGAUCCAAUCCUAAACAUGUAUAUACCUAUUGCCACACUUUAGACUUUACUACUUGUCCAUAUUUACUUUUGAUUCCCAUCUCUUAUUUUAUUGUGCAAAAAUAAAAAAAUCCUAAUUAAUCCUAAUUCUAAGCUAAGUUGAUAAAAAUUAAUAUAUAAAUUAUAAAUAAUAUAAUUAUAUAUUAAAGUUUAUCAAAUUAUUAAUAAUAUUAAAGAUAUUUAUUCUAGAUACUUUUUGAAAAUAUUCACAAAGAAAGGCACCUAGUUUUUUAUUAUUUACGAAAAGAGUGACUAAAUUUUAAAAAUAAUUCAAUUAAGUCCCUAGACUUAAUGAAAAUUUAAAAUUGAGUUGCAAAUUAAAACUUGGAUCAAAAUUGACCCUUUUUAUUUGAAACUAAAAAUUUGUUUUUCCAUUUAAGGGAUAAUUUCUUGGAAAAUUAUGUCAAAAUAAAUUCCUAGGAAAGAUUGGAGGGGUCACAAACGGUCCCGCUUAAGUUCCAAUCUCCUAGAUAGAAUUUAUUUAAACAUACUUGACCCAAAAAUAUACCCUAAAUCAUUUAUUCAAAAAGAAAAACGAAAAAUUAAGUAUCCGAUAAAAUGAACUAGAUUUUAUCCCGUUCAAUUUUAUCUCCCCAAUAAUGUUUUAGGCACUGAGCAUUAACUUGGAAAUUACCUCCCUUACCUUAGAGUUCAUCAACUCCGAAUGGAUAGACUUGGUGAAUCGUAAAUGACCGGACCAACGUGAUUUUAGCGUACCUAGAAAGAAUUUCAAUCUGGAAUUGAACAAUAAGACUUGCUGACCUGCUUCAAAUUCUCGAACUCGAAUGUGGUUGUCAUGCCAUUUCUUGAGUCUUUCUUUAAGUAAUUUGGCAUUUUCAUAUGAGAACCUUCGAAACUCUUCUAAGUCAUUGAGUUGGAACAUCCGUUUCUCUUUCGCGAGCUUAGGAUCCAAAUUAAGCUGUUGAAGAGCCGAAUAAGAUUUGUGCUCUAACACCAAUGGUAGAUGACAAGCUUUUCCAAAGACCAACCUAUAGGGUGACAUCCCUAACGGUGUCUUGUAUGUUGUUCUGUGAUCCCAUAAAGCAUCAUCUAAUCUUAUGGACCAAUCUCGUCUAUUCCGGCAGACUACCUUCUCAAGUAUACCUUUGAUCUCAUUAUUUGCCAGUUCAGCUUGCCCAUUUGUCUGCGGAUGGUAAGCUGUUGCAACCUUGUGUUUCACUCCGUGCUUGUCUAAUAACCAUUUUAACCACUUGUUCACAAAGUGGGAUCCUUCAUCACUAAUUAUAGCUCUUGGGGUUCCAAACCUUGUGAACACAUGCUUCUGUAGAAACUUCAUCACAACCUUAGCAUCGUUUGUCGGAUAUGCCUCAGCCUUGACCCACUUAGACACAUAGUCUACUGCUACUAGUAUGUACUUGUGACUACAAGACGGAGGAAAAGGACCAAGAAAGUCAAUACCCCAUACAUCGAACAAAUCUACCCUAGUGAUGUUUGUUCGAGGCAUCUCAUUUCUUUUGGUGACAUUUCCAACCCUUUGACAUCGAUCACAACUCUUCACGUAAGCAUAUGCAUCCUUGAAUAGUGUUGGCCAAAAGAAUCUGGCUUGCAAUACUGUGGCCUCUGUACGUGUACCUCCGAAGUGUUCCCCACUUGGAGCUGAGUGACAGUGGUAUAAAAUCUUCGAUAUUUCAUCUUCUGCCACGCAUCUCUUGAUCAUCUAAUCUGCACACUUUUUAAACACAUAUGACUCUUUCUAGAAAUAGUACUUCACAUCGUAAAGAAACUUUUUCCUUUGUUGAUACAUCUUAUCAAUUGGCAUAAAACCACAAGCUAAAUAGUUAGCAAUAUUAGCAAACCAAGGGGUAUUAUGGACAUGAUUUACCUUCAGGAUAUGUUCGUUUGGAAAUGUCUCCUGAAUUGGUAUAAAAGGAGAACUCCCUUCUUGUGGCUCCAAUCUGAGCAAGUGAUCUGCUACUUGAUUUUUGACCCCCGUUCAAUCUUGAAUUUCUAGAUAGAACUCUUGAAGUAGAAGUACCCAUCGGAUCAACCUCGGCUUCACACCUUUCUUCGCAGGUAAAUACUUAAUUGCCGAGUGGUCCGUAUAGACAGCCACUUUAGUACCUACCAGAUAAGAUGGAAACUUGUUGAAAGCAAACACAAUAGCAAGUAACUGUUUUCCUGUUACCGUAUAAUUCAGUUGAGCUCCUGUUAGGGUUCAACUUGCGUAGUAGAUAGGAUGAAAAACUUUGUUCCUUCGCUGGCCCAAGACAACUCCAAUUGCGAAGUCACUUGCGUCACACAUCAAUUCGAACGGCAAAUCCCAGUCUGGUGUGACAAUUAUGGGUGCCGUGACUAAUCAAAUUUUCAAAUCGUUGAAGGCUUUUAAGCAUUCCUCAUCAAACUUGAAUAUAGAGUCCUUCUCCAAUAAUUUGCAUAAGGGUUUAGCAACUUUGGAGAAGUCCUUGAUAAAUCUUCAAUAAAAACCGGUGUGGCCCAAAAAGCUCUUAACACCCUUUAUAGAUGUUGGAGGUGGGAGUUUCUCAAUAACAUCUACCUUUGCUUUGUCUACCUCGAUCCCAUGUCUCGUUAUCCGAUGCCCUAGAACAACUCCUUCUUGUACCAUAAAAUGACACUUUUCCCAGUUGAGUACGAGAUUCGUUUCUUCGCAUCGCCUUACUACUUUAGUUAGAUUGGCUAAGAAAUCAUUGUAAGUAUCUUCGAAUACUGAAAAAUCAUCCAUAAAAACUUCCAAAUAUUUCUCAACCAUGUCAGUAAAAAUAGACAUUCUACAUCUUUGAAAUGUAGCAGGUGCAUUACAUAAACCAAAUGGCAUGCGUCUAAAUGCAAACGUACCGUACGGACAGGUGAAUGUCACUUUGUGUUGACCUUCCGGUGCUACUGUAAUCUAAUUAUACCCUGAGUAUCCAUCGAGAAAGUAGUAGUAAUCUCGUCCUGCAAGUUUAUCCAACAUCUGGUCCAAGAACGGCAAAGGAAAGUGAUCUUUCCUAGUCACCUUGUUCAGCAAUCGAUGUAGAUUCUCCAUCCCGUAAUCGUUCUAGUCGGUAUCAACUCGUUGUUCUCGUUCUCUAUGACCGUGAUACCUACUUUUUUGGCACGCACUGGACCGGGCUUACCCAUGAACUGUCUGAGAUGGGUUAUAUGAUACCUGCAUUUAACCACUUGAUGAUCUCUUUCUUUACUACGUCCUUCAUGAUGGGGUUCAGUCUCCGUUGUCCAUCGAUCGUCCCUUUUUUGCCAUCUUCCAGGAUAAUCUUGUGCAUGUAUACAGAUGGACUAAUGCCACGAAAAUCGGCUAUGGUCCAUCCGAUGGCCUUCUUGAAUUAUUUCAAGACUAAGAUAAGUUUAUCUUAUUGCUUAGUGGUCAAUUCUGCUGAAACAAUCACAGGCAGAGUAGAAGCGUUACCUAAAUAAACAUAUUUUAAAUGAGAAGGUAAUACCUUGAGUUCUAAUUUAUGUGGCUCAUCGAUCAACACUUUUGGUUGAUAAUAGUCCCUCUUUUCUAACUCCAAAUAUUCAAAACGGGAUUGUGGAUUAAAUCCUCUUUGGUUAGCUUCUAGCAAAGCUAAGUAUUCAUCCUCCUCUUCAUCAUUUGGAGGAUUCGAUGUCAAAAUUCUUUCUAGUGGGUCCUCAACACAGUUGAGUUUCUUCUCCAUUAUUAAAUCCUCUAAAUCGGACACUGCAAAGCAAUCAUCCAUUGUGUCAGGAAAUCGCAUAGACUUAAAGACGUUAAAUGUUACCUAAUCAUUCUGAACAUGCAUAGUGAGCUCGCCCUUCUACAUAUCAAUAAGGGUCCUUCCAGUUGCUAGGAACAGCCGUCCUAGGAUGAUUGGUACAACUACCAGUGAAAAUAUAUUCCGCUUUGGUGGUGGACAAUACAACACUAUUUUGUUUCUUUGAAAACCAUGAUAUGAGCAUAUUGCCUAGGAAUUGAUAAGUAUUGGAUUUGCUUUUCCUAAUCUAAUUUGCAAACUCUAAUAUCUACGUCCAAGAAGGCAUGCAAGCUAAAGGAUGGGUUUUUAGGAUACCAAAGGCUUAAGUUAGGAGUGUCUCUAAGGUAUUUAAAGAUUUUCUUAAUGGCUUGUAAAUGUGAUUUCUUAGGACAAGAUUGAUAUUUAGCACACAAGAAAACAUUAAAUUGUUGGAAGACACAACAAAAAAUAAAUUUAGAAAAAACAAGAGUUUAAUUUUUUUUUCCAAAACAAGAACUUGUUUUUGAUAUUUAAAGUAAUAAACAUUUAAUCAAAAUUGCACCUUUUUGAUUCGUCUAAGAUGAAUGCUUCGACAAGUAGUCUUCUUCGCUACCCUUAAGCUCACGUCUACUAAGUGUGGGCUCACUUCAAAUAAAAAAAUUCACUAAAAUUACCAGUGGGGUAAUUUCGUAAUUUUUCUAAAAUUUUAGGCUAAAUUGUAAAUAAGAAAUAUAUCUCUAGAAAUCUUCUAAAAUAAUUUCUUCAGAUAAUUUUCUCUCUAUAACUUUCUCUUAAAUUCAAGUGUGUGAAAAAUAUAGGGAGAGUUUAGAGAGUUCAACUAUAAUUAAACUUAAUUACUUUAAUAUUAAAUUUAAUCUAAUAUUUAUCAAGAUAAGAUAAAUAUUAGAUUAAAUUUAAUAUUAAAUCUUAUUAAAUUAAUAAAAUAUUUUUCUACAAGAUAAACAUUAAAUUAAAUUUAAUAUUAAGAUAAUCAGUUGAAUAUUAAAUUAAUAAAAUACUAUUAAGAUAAGUAUUAAAUUAAAUUUAAUGUUAAAUAUAUUAAAAUAAUAUUAUUUUUGGAAUAGUUAAUCUAAAAUCAAAUUCUCUGGUAAAGUCCUAGUAGGAGUGUAAUUCUUCCACUGCUCAACCACCGAAGAACCACCGCCACUGACCGUUUUCCGGCCACCGAAAUGCCAUCGUUGUAGCUGUCGGCACCCCGAGUUGGUUCAAUUUUUGUUGAUUCAGUCCAGGCCAGUGGCGGCCCGACCGGUCCAACCAUUGGUUAGAUCGCCGGUCCGAUUUCACAUACUAGGCCCAGUUCGACUAGUUUUUGGUCUUGGUCUCGGUUUUGGGCUCCCAGGCCCAAUUUACAAUCUCAGGUCCAAUUUUCAAGUUCAAUUACACAUUGGGCCAAUUGUCUGACUUGAAAAUUAAUUUUCAAAAACAUCAUAUUAAUUUUAAUUAAUUUGAUUAAUUUAAAUUUACUUGAUUAAAAUUAAUUUUCCAAAAAAUCACUUAGAUUUUUCAAAGUAAUUUUUCAAGAAAUUUCUUUACUCAAAUUCUCUAGUUGAACAAUUCUUACGACUGCCCAAUUUAAUUCCACACCAAAUAAAUUGACUCAAUUAAAUUAUUUCCAAAGUCGUAGAAAUUUCUUCUAAUUCAAAUACAAUCCGAUUGAGCUUUUAUUAAGCUAGCAGAGAGACCAAUUAGACAUAUACAAUUAGGCUCUAAUAAUUACAAUUAUGUCCAGAAUUAUCAUUCCAAUAAUUCGUAAUUACUUAAUCAUGGAGUCAGUCCACAAGAAGUACUGUAACACCCCUAUUCCCAACGCAACUACUAGAUCAAGUAUAAAAAUGCUACAUUGAUUGUCAGAAACUCUAAUAGUAAUUUCUAAAUAAAAAUAACAUUAUAAUUUGUACAUAUUAGUUUCGUUAUUUCAGUAGAUUAAUUAUUAGUAUUCGAGAUAAGCUAGAAUAAAUUUUUUCAACCAUUCUUGCAUUUAGAAUAGUAUACUAAAGUGAAAUAAGGGCUAUUGUGAAAAACAAGGGACAUGGCCAUGUGGAUCAGCAGUAUGGAUUUUGGGAACCAUGUUUGAGUUUGAAAUUCAAGGGAUAAUUUGCCAAAUUAAUUCCUAAAGUUUUUCCAGUUUAACCCUUGUUCAAAUCUCAAAUUUUAAGCCAAUUUAAUUUAAAUAUAAAUCGUAAUUAAGCAUUUUAAAACCCAAUUUUCUUAUAUCACUUAAUUAACAUUUAAAUAAUUUCAUAUAAAUUAAGCAAACAUUGAGUUUUCACAUUUAAGUCCCUUCACAUUCAACCUUAAUACACACACCUAGGUACAUGCCAUUUACUGAAACGACAUAAAUUAAUACUUUACCAUUUUCUCAAAUCCACAGAUGUGAUGAGAUGAGAUGCCUUCAAUCCUCAAAGAUCUUUUUCUUCUACUCUUAACCUACUCGUAUAAAGCACACGUUAAGCUAUUGCUAGCUUACUAAGUACAACUAGUAUUUAGGCCAUAACCUAUUAUAUAAAUUAUAACUUAUUUAUUAUUACUACACAUAAUCAUUUAAAUGACUUGUUUGUAUUCAUCAUACAUAAUUUACCAAUCAAUUAACUUAUCCUUACAAUUAGCUCCACUUUUAUUAUUAUUUGCUCAUUAUACACAAAUUAAACAUAUUGAUUUGAUUAUCAUCUAUAUAAUACUAGAAUCACGUAAUUUAUUUUAAAUUUAUCAUUUCAUUAGCUAAAAUUUUAGAUAAUUUACUUUUCUUAUUUCAACCAUAUAUUUUCUUAUGUUUUCCAAUUUCAUAACUUUUCAACACAUAUAAUCUAUAUAAUUCAACAGUCAUUAAAAUAGUUAUGUACCUUUUUGAAAGGCCCAGUAGACUUAACAGAACAUACAAGAUAUACGGAACAUAACAGAACACCAUCGAAGCAGAUAAAAAAAUACCAUUGAAGCGAAUAAACUGAGAGCACAAAUGUGCUAAUCAGAGAGCACUAACGUGCUAAUAGUCAGAGAGCACUAAUGUGCUAAUAAUCAGAGCGCGCGCUAAGGUUUCUUAAUGGCAUGCCACUAAUAUCCCAAUAGUUCUUAUCUCGUCUAUUUGGGCAAGUCAUAACAUACACACGUCACUUUUACACUUUUUACCAUUCAAUCCUUAUAACAAUACUUCGUAUAAUUAUAUCUUCCUAUUUCAUUACCACAUGUAACUUGUCUCAAUAUUUAAUAAUCUUCCAUAAAUUUAAUAAUAAUUCUUAUUAUACAUUUCACAUAUCACUUUUACUUACUUUACAAUUUAAAACUCAUAAUGACAUUUCAUUUAACAAUGUUUUUCACUUUCAAUAACAUAUAUAACAUAUUUCAUUUCUUGGUUUAAUUUUAGUAAUCUACCACGAAUUCUUAUUAUCAUAUUUGUAAUACCCAAUUUACGCCCAACCCAUAUACAUCACAAAAAAUAAAUAUACAUAUAUAAAAACUAAAUAAAAAAAUUAUAAUAAAAGUCCAAUACAGUCCAAAAGUAAAAAAUAAUAUAGAAACAUUUACCCAAAUUUGCCUGGGCCCGCAUACAAAAACCAAAUACAAACCAAAUAAAAAGACUAUUAUCUAAGGUUAUUUACAUGACCCAAUAACAAUAAACCCAAUAGUACAUUAAGCCCAAUCCUAAAACUAAUACCCUACCCAGUUUACAUGGCCCAAUUCAAAUUGAAACCUAGCCAAAACUGGAGAAAUACACCAGAAGCCUCUAGGGAUUUCGAGAAUUGCCAGCGCCGCAUUAAUUGGAUCUAGGCCUCGCGCGUGCAUCGCCACCGUGUGCAUGCGGCUCCUCCACGCGUGUGCUCCAGAUGGUUGGGUACCUGCAACAGAAACAACAAACAAGCGGGUGAAACAAAAACAUGGAAAAAAUGCAAAUAACAGAAGGAAUAGAGGGGAUUUGAUUUAUUUUUUAUGUUCAUUUUUGUGGCUAUAAAAGGCCAAUUGUAACACUGAAAUGGGAUCUUUUUUCCAGGCAUAUUUAAAUACAAAUAAAAAAUCAAUCAAAAAGGAAAAGAAAUCAGAUUUGAAAACGUGAUUCACCAUUUUUUUUCUCUGCAUUUCUUUACUGUUUUCUUUUAUUUUUUUAUACGAAGAAGAGAAAAGUAAAGGAAAAAGAAGAGGGAGAGAAGAGCGAACUUACCUGGUGGCUGAUCUUCCUUCACUACGUCGCAAUCAGAGUCGGAUGGAGGAUAGAGGCACGAAACGACGCACAGAGGAAAAGCAUUUAGGGUUUGUAGAUUUGUUAAAUGGCUUAAUGCCUAGGUUUUUAGGUUUUAUGCGUGCAAGGAAACGACACCGUUUGAAGCCCGUUCUAAUAGCUCCCAAAACGGUGCCGUAUUGAGCUUACCCGAUUAUAUUGACCCGAUUCAAUCUCAGAUCCGCGCCUUUUGGUUCAAAGGUCUAUUUGCGCAACAAGUCCCCCUUUGUUUUGUAUUGUUUCAAUGCGAUUUCUUUAAAUUUUUAUUUAUUUAUUUAUACCAUAUCUUUUAUUCUGAUUUUAUUUUAGUCCAAAAUCAAACGGUGACGUUUUUGUUAUCUGAAUUUGAAUUCUGGAACUUAUGCGUUUAAUUGUGGUAUUAGUCCUCAUGCUUUCGAUUGAUUGUAAAUUUAGUCUUCUAAGUGCUGUAUUUUCGAUUUAAUUAUUGUUUUUUUUAAAUUUAUUUUUUAUCUCUUAUCAAUCAUAAUGUUUUGUUUAAUUUUAUAAAUAUUAAUGUUUUGUUUAUUUAUAAUAAAUUUUAAAUGUUAGGAUUAACAUUGUUUUCAAACAUUUUUUAUUAUAAUUUUAAGGUACAACAUAUUCUUAUUUAAAAUUAUUAUUAACAUAUUUUGAGUUUAUCAACAUUGUUUUAAAAUUUAUCCUUUUUAUUUUCAAACUCCAUAUCUUUAUAUGUUUCAUCAUCUAUAUAUGUAAAAAUGUUUUUCAUAAUAAUUUGACAUACUUUAUACAUAUUUUAAUAAUUCAUUUUAUGUUAUAACUUAGUUUUCUUUUGAUAUAAUGUUUUAAAUGCUACUAUAUGUGUUAUUAAAUUAUUUCAAAAAAAUUAUAUAUAUUAUUGUUUUGAUGUUUAAUAUUAUCAUGAUUAUAAAUUUCAAAGUAUUUUUAUAUGUAUAUAUGUAUUUUAAGUCGAUUUUAUUUAUAUAAUUUACUUCUUUCAAAACCUAUUUAGGUGAUUACUUUUUUUAAAAUCAUAUACGUAUUGGAACUCUUACAUAGUUAUUUUAUAUGUAUUAUUUAGGGUAAAUUAAUAAAUAUAUUAUUUGUUUCAAAUUUAUUUUAAAUACCAUUAUCCAAUGUUGUAUUAUACUGUUUCACGUCCAUUUUGAGUCUAUGUGUAAAUAUUUUAGCUUAUAAAUGUUAUUAUUAAUAAAUAUUGUGGUAUUUAAUUCAUUUGAUAGUUGGCAAUUAGGAUUGAUAUUUGCAUGAUGUGAUGAAAAUUGUUGUAACCACUUUUGUUCGAAUUCCUCCAUUGUUUAUCAUCCCUCAGUUUGUAUUUAGAUUGUGAAUUGUAUCUUUUUACAUUACGUAUCGCUAUUCAAUCAUGUGCCAUUUGUAAAAGUUUCAUUUUAAAGCACAACAAUCAUUUUAUUUCAUAAUUUUCAAAAUACCCGGUAUUUAAGACUCUCGAGAGAAUUGUACCAUAACUUAUUGGGCUUCAAUUCUUCCGAUGAAUUUAAAUAGCCGAGUAUCUCUUUUGUAAUAAAACCACGUGAUUUUUAAAUAAAUCUUGUCGGGAAUUCAAAAUGUUGAAUCCUAACUUACUGGAUAUGACAUUUUGUUAUCUCGAAUUAAGGAUUUUAAAAUAAAGGCAAUAUUUGGUGUUUAGGAAUGUCGAGAAAUUGAACCCUAGCUUACUGGAUUCUGAUUUCUUGAUUGACCCAAAUAACUAAAUAUCCUUUUCAAAAUGUAUGAUUUUUUAAAAUUUAAAAAGACAAACCUAAUUUCGAAGAUUGAACCGUUGCACCCUAACUCACUGAGUGUGACAAUUUAUGGGUAUGUCUUAUCAUCCAUUUCGAUUAUUCAGGCUUUCUUUUCAAGGGAUCGUAUUUUAAAAUCUUUUCAAGUUUUCAGCAUUAAGACAUUAAACGAUCAAUUCGGUACCAAUUUUUGGGCGUUGCGGGGUGCUAACCCUUCCUCGUGCGUAACUAACUCCCGAACCUAUUUUCUCAAAAAUUGUAGACCAAAAAUCGUUUUCAAGGUGAUCCGAUCACACCUCAAAUAAAGGUCGGUGGCAACUCCAUUUUCAUUUUCAAGGUCGAUUUCUAUUUUUUUUAAAAAAAUAGUUUCGACAGCUUGGCGACUUCACUGGGGACAUUUAGAGAGUCAAGCCGCAAAAUUGAUUGUUUUUUGUCUUAUUGUCAAAAAUUGAAAAUUUGAUUUGAAAAAUUAGGAUCCUCUCUUUGUAUUUGUUUGUCUGAUUACUAUAAAUUGAGUUGUAUAUUUUGGCAUCAUAUUGCUUAAAAGACUGUUUAGUCUUACCCUUGUAAGUGGGAGUGAGAAGCUAUUCCUUCGUGAGGUUUUCACUUCCGUGCAGGAUUGUGGAUCACUUUCGGGAUACAUCCGUACCUAUGUCUUCGUGAGAUUUUCAUCUCCGUGUAGCCAUAGGGAAAUGUAUUCCCCUGAACUGAACUCGUUUUGUAUGAGCCUAUAAUGGGCGAAGAUCGAGGAAUCUGCUGGUUCGGGUACCUUGACUUUAGAGCCAAACCGCAUGUAGAAGACCUUAGGAACCUAUCCUAGGUAGAGCCACUCCAAACCUCUAGUGGUUACCUAACUAGGUAUUCUUUUUGUUUGCUUUUGUUUUGUACUAACCCAUUUUGUUUUGUUUCGAUUAUGAUUGCAUUGCAUUUGCAUCUUAGAAAAGAGAUGUUGAUUAAAAAUCGAUUACUAAAUUAGAAAGCUUGUCAUGGAAUACAGACUUCUUGAUAAAGUAGAAGAUAAUACGGUUGCCCGACUAUAUUCCAAGAAACACAAGAAGGGCGAUGAAAGAGUUCGUGACUUUACUUCGUGGCCCGAGGAUUCAAGAUGAUUGUCUAAAAGCCUUCGACGUUCCAACUCCCUUAAAGAAGCUGACGAGCCUUAUAAAGAUGGGCAGAUGAUGGAUCGCGACCAGGAUCAAGAAAAGGAGCUAGCAGUGGCAUCCAUUGGAAAUUUGUGAGAUUUAUUUUAAACAUUCGGAUGAGGAAAUUAUUGAGGUUGUUUCUGGGAAUAUGAAGGCGAGGACGUACAUGCAUCCGUUUUAUGUAAAGAAGUUUGUCUUCUAGUAAAAUUUUCUAAAUGUAAUUGAAUCAGAAUUAACAUCUCUUCAGGCAUUCAUUUCAUGCAUCUGCAUUACAUAACAUCAUAUGCAUUAAAAUCCAUUGAAAGAGUCUAAUUGAGUAAAUUUAUUUCAGUUAAUUUGGAAAACCAACACCCUUACAAUAUCCAAGCAAAGGUUAGAGAAAUGGAAGAAAGGUUGGAGAAAUUAGAGCGAAUGCAAAUACAAAUGCAAGAGCAACUGACUAAAUUUCAACAGGAGAUGAGAGAUCAGAUGCUAGAAUUACAGAGAACUUUGAUGAACCAAUUCAACCGAUUGCUAGCUGGAGAGUUAGAAGAAGUGAAAGACUCAGUGAUCCACUUUGGGGUUAAUACUGAGGAUCUUGCCUAUUCCCUAGAUUGUACUCUGAUAAGUGUACAGAUCCUGCCAGAUGGGCGUUCAUAAGGGGCACUCUUUGCUAUUAGAUCCCAACAUUAUCAGACUAGUACAUCGACACUAGUGAAUUGCUUGGCAGGCCUAGGAUCAAAUUUGAGGAACAAUUUUCCUGUUGCUCUUGAUAACCUAGCAGAAAUAAAAUAGUCGAGGGUGGAGUACCUAUAUACUACAAAGGCCCUAAGGAAGAAGGGAAAUAAAUGGGAUAAUGCAGGCAGGUAUAACAAGGGCCACUCAAUGCCAAUCACUGCGGGUAGGCCAAAGUCAGAAAUCAUUAGCCAUCAGAGCCCUUUAAAGCGAGAAUUUUACACGAAGACAAGUAUAGAAAGACCUCAAUUUACAUCUAUACCGAUGUUAUAUAGUGAGCUAUAUCAAAGCCUAUUUAAUGCACAUGUGGUGUCCCCCUUCUACUUGAAACCCAUGCAGCCCCUAUUUCCUAAAGGAUACGAUGCAAACGCCCAGUGCGAAUAUCAUGCAGGAAUCACGGGGCAUUCAAUAGAAAACUUCUCUGCUUUCAAAAAACUAAUUGAAAGACUCAUUAAUAGGGGUAUCGUCAAGUUUGGUGACUUAUCAAAUCUGCUACCCAAUUAUAUUGAUAAUGGGGUAGACAUGAGGGCAAGAAGAGGAUUAGUUAUUUCUGAUUCAAAAGGAAACCAUGGAAAGAUAGGCAACUAUUGUGAGUUCCAUCACAAGAAGGGGUACGAGACCGAAGAGAGUAUGGAACUCAAGGCCUUGGUUCAGGGCAUGAUGGACGACAAAAAGAUGAAGCUCUUUGAGGAAAUUAAAGAAGAGAAAAACAUACACACAAGGUUGGGAAGUGUUCACUUCAAUGACAUAUAGACGCAAUUGAAAAGAGACCUUGUCAGAUGUCCGCCCUUAUAAAUUUGGGAGUGUUCUAAGUAAUUGGACUGCAGAAGAAAUCCCUGUAGUUUUUAGAGCUUAUUUAGAGUAAUGUUCAGAAUAUUUUUGUUGUUUUUAGCCUAAAAAUGAUAGAAUUCCUUUGUGCAAUAAGCUCAUGUCUGAACGUCAUUAUUCUAAUAAAAUACAUCUUUGUAUUCAUUUUUAAGCUAAUAUUCUUUCAUUCUUUUUGAACAAUUAUUCUUUCAUUCUUUUGGGUUUUCUUCUACAUCAUUUUUAUUCAUAAUUAUAAUGUACAAAUAAUUAUUCAUAAAGUUACAUAUUCUUUUUUAUAUUCUUUGGUAUUUACUAUGGGUCCUCAGAUAUCAAUGACGUGAGUGACAUUGUUACAGACUUAGAAUCUCCUUUUGAGCGAGAUAUGUUUUUAGAGGGAUCUCAUGACUUUGAAAAUUACAUGGAUUGUAGCCUAUCUCUGGACUUGUUGAGGGUGGUAGAACAAGAGGACCAACAGAUCCUACCUUACAAGGAAUCAUUAGAAAUUGUGAGUUGGGUGAAUAUUUGAAUUGACAUGACCACAAAGAUAAAGUGGAACCUUAUUGAGUUGCUUCGAGAAUUCAAAGAUGUCUUCACAUGGUUAUACCAGAAUAUGCUUGGGUUAAACACUGACAUUGAAGAUUGUAAGCCAGCUCAGCAGAAGCUCAGGAGAAUGAGGCCCGAUAUCGUGCUACAAGAAAAAGUCAAAAAGUAAUUUGAUACUGGGUUUUUACAAGCGAUCAAAUAUUCAGGAUGGAUAGCCAACAUCGUACUAGUCUUUAAAAAAUGGGAAAGUACGAAUGUAUGAGGAUUAUAGGGAUUUGAACAAAGCCAGUCCCAAAACUCAUUGUUUUUCACACUUUAAUGGAUAAUAUGGCAGGCUACUUAUUGUUUUCGUUCAUGGACAGCUUCUCUGGAUACAAUUAAAUAAAGAGACAUCCCAAAGAUAUAGGAAUGACCACAUCCAUCACCUUAUGGGAAAUUUUUGCUAUAAAGUGAGGUCUUUCGGGUUAAAGAAGGUUUGGAAGGCCUUUCUCUUUGACUUAUCAUAACUUUGCCCAUUGAAGCUGAUUGCUCUCCACUUUUAUUGGGUUUUAUCCUAAUUAAAGAGGACGAUCCAAAGUUUUGUCAUCAUAGUUAAAUUUCGCACCAAAAGGCUCUAUGAAAGAAAUUUGGUACCAAAGAAGAUUUUUCGCAUAUAAUAUGAAAGUGGAAGAUCUUAUGUGGGAGACUUUAUCGAAAAAAUAUUGGUUCUGAUCAAAAGGGAUAAUAAGGACUUGCCUAAUCCUAUAAGUUCAGAUUCAAUUUCAUAAAAAAAAAGAAAGAAAAGAAAAAAGAAAAAAAAACAAAAGAAAAAAGAAAACUCAAAGUCAAAAUACAAAAAAAUGAAAAUAAAAAAGAAAAAGAAAAGAAAAAGAAAAAAGAAAAAGGAGAGGCCAAGGCGAAAACCCGCAAAGGGCACUUUGUGACCAAAGGUGGAUUUGAGUUGAAAACUCGAAAAGGGCGACUCAAAUUUUGAGCGAAAUGGGGUCUGGACAUCAUCAUCAUUGAUGGCUUCUAAUGGGCAUUGCUUUAGUUUUUCGAGAUCAUUAAUUACUUUAUCAAAUGGGUAAAGGUUGCUUUAUACGUCAAUGUCAUCAUGUGCCGAUAUAGAAUUCCAAAAAAGAUGGUAUUAGAAAAUGUAUUGAACUUGAAUGAUAGCAUGAUAGUUGAGGUCUGUAAUCAAAUCAAAAUAAGACACCACAGUUCGUCACUGUAUUGACCAAAAAUGAAUUGUAAAAAAAAAAACUAAGACUUACAAUGGCUGGCAUGUGAAGUUACCAUUUGCCCUCCUGGUUUUUCGAACGUUAUCGGGACUUCGACUGGGGCAACACCGUUUCUCUUGUUUACAAGAUGGAAGUAGUUCUACCUAUCGAAGUAGAAAUCCUUUUCUAUGGGUAUUAGUUAAGCUAAGAGUUGGAUGAGGAAGAAUGAAUCCAGUAUGAUCAGGCUAAAAAGCUAUGCAGUACAGUCAAAUUAUCAAAGGCGAAUGACGCGAGCCUACAACCAAAAGGUUCACCUCAGAGAAUUCUAUAAGGGGAACCUAAUGUUGAGAAAGAUCCUUCCUACACGAAAAGAUAGAUGGUAAAAACUUGCCAAAUCCUGCAAACUCAGAUUCAGUCAAGCAUUACUUCGCCUGAAGAAGGACAAGGGAUCAAGGUGAAAACCCGCAAAGGGCGCUUUGAUUCCUAAAAAUAAUAAUAAUAAAAAAGACCAAGGUGAAAACCCACAAAGGGCGCUUUGAGUCCAAAAAAAUAAAAUAAAAUAAAUAAAAAAAUGGUGAGGCUAAGGUGAAAACCCGCAAAGGGCGCCUUGAGACCAAAGGGGAUUUUAGUUGAAAACCCGAAAAGGGCGGUUCAAAUAUUGAUCAAAUGGGGCAUGAGGUGAUCAGAGCAGUUCAAAUUUUUAUCAGAUUGGGGCAUAUGAUGAUCUUGAUAUAUUUGAAUCAACAGGAAAGGGUAGGCGACAUCUUGGGGCAUCGACAAAGCAUUGUAGAUCUCCUAAACACAUGUCAAAUUCAGAAUGGUCUUCAGAAAGUUUGUACAGAGAAGUUCAAGCUGCGAGAUCUGGGGCACCCAAUUUUUAUAUUAUUUAUAUAGAAUUUAUUGCUCUUGGAAUACUUUAUUCUUUUCCAAGAUACACAUUCCCAAUCAAUUUCUUUGUUAUCCUUUUUUACUAUUUUUGAUAAUUUAUUCCUUUCGAGCUAUGCUCAGAACCAACUUUAUUCUUAUUCAUUGUUAUGAUCUUUUUGCAGGCAUGUUGCAUUACAAUAAUGAUUAAUGGGCUAAUAAAACUUUCACAAGGGAAUUUUUGCAUAUUACUCUAGAAGUUUCUAAAUAAUACAGAAGCCUGAAACAGGACUAUUGUUUAGAACGCACCAAGUUUAAAGGUUGGAAAUCUGUAAAGGAAGAGUCUAAAUUAGGACUUUCUCUUUGGAUUUUGUUGUCUAAAACAUUGAUUGAACAAAAUGACAAGAUAUUGUGUUGAUAACAAAGCUUAAAUAAACAAGCAAGCAAUGAUCACCAGGCAAUAAGAAGAGGUUACCUCAGAGAAGAGAGCCUUCAUUUGAGCAUGAGACGGCACCCUGGGAAUGGUGUAAGGGACCAGAUAAAUUUAGAUCCUGUAUCCUUGAAUUGUGAUAGGAGAGGAUUGAGGAAAAGCCACAUAUUUCUACCCUUGGGUUAUAGUGGGAGAAUGAUGGUACAAAUUUUGUGUCCCAGUGGAUUGAACUUUGAGGUAUACAGUGGGGGCAAUCUGACUAAAUGUUUCUUCAAAAAUGCCAGCCGAGAAGGAAGGUGUUAUAGCACUUCAGUGAUAAAGCCUUAAUAAACUUUGAGCAAUGAUAACCUAAGUGAUAAAGAAGGAUCAUUCUCGAAAAAAUAUAAAAUUCUGCAUUCAUGCAAACACCAUUCACACAUGUCUAGUUAGGAGCAUUUGAUUCAUUUUGAUCAUGCCGUCCUAAUCAUUAGACAUAAUUAGGUUCAUUAUACAGGUCAUGUUCCCUAGAGAACAGAUCAGUGAAAUUAGUAGAUCUUGCCUUCCUGUAAUGACAGAGAAGCAGAUCGAAGACACCAGCCUUACCUCCCUGGGUUGUAGUGGAGCAGGUUGAAAAUAACAUAUCUUAUCUCCCUAAGCAGUAGUGGAGUAGAUCGAAGACGGUGAAUCUUAUCUUCCCCAGGAGUAGGGAAGCAGAUUUAAGCCAUUAGUCCUAUCUCCCUGGACAGCAGGGGAAUAGGUGGAAGAUUGUAAGCCUUAUCUCCCUAAGCAGUAGUGGAGCAGAUCGAAGACGACGAAUCUUAUCUUCCCAGGAGUAGGGAAGCAGAUUUAAGCCACUAGUCCUAUCUCCCUGGACAAUAGUGGAAUAGGUUGAAGGUUGUGAAUCCUAUCUCCCUGGUCAGUAGUGGAAUAGGUUGAAAAUUACAAAUCUUAUCUCCCUAAGCAGUAGUGGAGCAGAUCGAAGACGGUGAAUCUUAUCUUCUCAGGAGUAGGGAAGCAGAUUUGAACCACUAGUCCUAUCUCCCUGGACAGCAGGGGAAUAGGUGGAAGAUUGUAUGCCUUAUCUCCCUAAGCAGUAGUGGAGUAGGUUGAAAAUUACAGAUCUUAUCUCCCUAAGCAGUAGUGGAGCAGAUCGAAGACGGUGAAUCUUAUUUUCCCCAAGAGUAGGGAAGUAGAUUUAAGCCACUAGUCCUAUCUCCCUGGACAGCAGUGGAAUAUGUUGAAGGUUGUGAAUCCUAUCUCCUUGGUCAGCAGUGGAAUAGGUUGAAAAUUACAGAUCUUAUCUCCCUAAGCAAUAGUGCAGCAGAUCGAAGACGGCAAAUCUUAUCUUCCCUAGGAGUAGGGAAGCAGAUUUAAGUCACUAGUCCUAUCUCCCUGGACAACAGGGGAAUAGGUGGAAGAUUGUAAGCCUUAUCUCCCUAAGCAGUAGUGGAGUAGGUUGAAAAUUACAGAUCUUAUAUCCCUAAGUAGUAGUGGAGCAGAUUGAAGACGGUGAAUCUUAUUUUCCCCAGAAGUAGGGAAGCAGGUUUAAGCCACUAGUCCUAUCUCCCUGGGCAGCAGUGGAAUAGGUUGAAGAUUGUAAGCCUUAUCUCCCUAAGCAGUAGUGGAGUAGGUUGAAAAUUACAGAUCUUAUCUCCCUAAGCAGUAGUGGAGCAGAUAAAAAACAGUGAAUCUUGCUUCCCAGGCGGUACAGUGGAACAAAUUAAAGCCACAACGAUGAAUCUUACUUCCUCGACAUUGCAGUUAAAAAGACUGAAGCUACAAUGGCGAAUCUUACUUCCCAAAAGUGACGAGUUACAAAUCUUAUCACCCUGAUAUUGCAGUGGAGUGGAUCGAAGCACCAAUUCCUAUACCUUUGAAGGUACAAUAGGAUGGAAUGAGGCAACUCGAAGAAGAAGAGCACCAAGGCCCAACACGACCGGGCAAAAUUGGCCAUUUCUAGAGUCAUUACUCCGUUCUCGUUACACGACAAUGAGCAAAGAGGGGCAGCUGUAAUACCCAAUUUAUGCCCGGCCCGUAUACAUCACAAAAAAUAAAUAUAUAUAUAAAAGCUAAAUAAAAAAAUUAUAAUAAAAGUCCAAUGCAAUCCAAAAUUAAAAAAUAAUACAGAAACAUUUACCCAAAUUUGCUUGGGCCCGCAUACAAAAACCAAAUACAAACCAAAUAAAAAGUCUAAUAUCUAAGGUUUAUUUACAUGGCCCAAUAACAAUAAACCCAAUAGUACAUUAAGCCCAAUCCUAAAACUAAUACCCUAACCCAGUUUACAUGGCCCAAUUCAAACUGAAACCUAGCCAAAACUGGAGAAAUACACCAGAAGCCUCUAGGGAUUUCGGGAAUCGUUAGCGCUGCAGUAGUUGGAUCUAGGCCUCG